rnacentral:lncRNA from 1 species
AGGUGAUCUGGGGAUACUUACUAGGCAGGUGAGAUAUUGUGAUUACAAAGGUGGUUUACCCAGAGUGGGCUUAUCCAUUGCACUCUGGAUGUUCUGACCCCUGUGACUUCCCCUAAUGUGGAAAACCCAAGGCAUAAUUUGUGGUAGUGAGGAAUUUCGUUUGCACUCUCCCUCAAAAAGAAAUUAAAAAGUAAAAACAAAAAAAAAAGAAAAGAAGAUAAAACAAAAGCAAAUAAAAGAAAAAAGAAAAGUUACCUGAAAUGAAUUGCAGCCUACUUACUGUUAACCCUCAUUACCUGUGAAGAGGGGAGUGAGAUUCACCUAAAGUGAAAUUGGAC